rnacentral:rRNA from 1 species
GAUGAACGCUGGCGGCGUGCCUAAUACAUGCAAGUAGAACGCUGAAGCUUGGUGCUUGCACCGAGCGGAUGAGUUGCGAACGGGUGAGUAACGCGUAGGUAACCUGCCUCUUAGCGGGGGAUAACUAUUGGAAACGAUAGCUAAUACCGCAUAAAAGUCGAUAUCGCAUGAUAUUGAUUUGAAAGGUGCAAAUGCAUCACUAAGAGAUGGACCUGCGUUGUAUUAGCUAGUUGGUGAGGUAACGGCUCACCAAGGCGACGAUACAUAGCCGACCUGAGAGGGUGAUCGGCCACACUGGGACUGAGACACGGCCCAGAUUCCUACGGGAGGCAGCAGUAGGGAAUCUUCGGCAAUGGGGGCAACCCUGCCCGAGCAACGCCGCGUGAGUGAAGAAGGUUUUCGGAUCGUAAAGCUCUGUUGUAAGAGAAGAACGAGUGUGAGAGUGGAAAGUCCACACUGUGACGGUAACUUACCAGAAAGGGACGGCUAACUACGU